ACCUGGGUAGCUCAGUCGGUUGAGCGUCCGACUUCGGCUCAGGUCAUGAUCUCACAGUUUGUGGGUUCAAGCCCCGCAUCAGGCU
rfam:Felis catus isolate Cinnamon breed Abyssinian chromosome E1, whole genome shotgun sequence.